GCCAGCAGCCAUAUCACAACUGGCAACCCACUGAAACUGAGCAGGUGUGAGCCUCGUCUGUACCUGGAUGGGAGACCUCCUGGGGAAAACUAAGGUUGCUGCUGGAA
rnacentral:rRNA from 1 species